UACAGAGGUCUCAAGCGUUGUUCGGAUUCAUUGGGCGUAAAGGGUGCGUAGGUGGCGAUGUAAGUCUGGUGUGAAAUCUCGGGGCUCAACCCCGAAAUGGCAUUGGAUACUGCGUUGCUUGAGGAUGGUAGAGGAGAGUGGAAUUCACGGUGUAGCAGUGAAAUGCGUAGAUAUCGUGAGGAAGACCAGUUGCGAAGGCGACUCUCUGGGAAAUUCCUGACACUGAGGCACGAAGGCCAGGGGAGCAAACGGG
rnacentral:rRNA from 1 species